AGAGGAAGCCGGUGCGAGUCCGGCGCGGUCCCGCCACUGUCACCGGGGAGCGUGCCCCCACUCGGCACAGGCCACGGCCCGCGCAGUCGGCGGGCUGGAAGGCCGGGGGCGACGUCGAUCCGGGAGCCAGGAGACUC
rnacentral:ncRNA from 2 species